rnacentral:rRNA from 1 species
UAGCGGAGGAAAAGAAACCAACAGGGAUUGCCUCAGUAACGGCGAGUGAAGCGGCAAAAGCUCAAAUUUGAAACCUUCGGGAUUGUAAUUUGAAGAUUUGGCAUUGGAGAAAGCUAACCCAAGUUACUUGGAAUAGUACGUCAUAGAGGGUGACAACCCCGUCUGGCUAACCGUUCUCCAUGUAUUGCCUUAUCAAAGAGUCGAGUUGUUUGGGAAUGCAGCUCAAAGUGGGUGGUAAACUCCAUCUAAAGCUAAAUACUGGUGAGAGACCGAUAGCGAACAAGUACUGUGAAGGAAAGGUGAAAAGAACUUUGAAAAGAGAGUGAAAUAGUAUGUGAAAUUGUUGAUAGGGAAGGAAAUGAGCGGAGAGUGGUUGAGGUUUCAGCGCACCCUUGGGUGCGUGUAUUGCCGACGCCGAGUCAUUGACAGCGAGACGGGGGCUACAAACAGGUUGCUCUUGAGCUUCCCACCUAUCCCCCCCACUGCCGCCAACGACAUAAUCCGCCCAUUUCACCCGUCU